rnacentral:rRNA from 1 species
CCAGAGAACUUAGCAGAGAUGCUUUGGUGCCCUUCGGGAACUCUGAGACAGGUGCUGCAUGGCUGUCGUCAGCUCGUGUUGUGAAAUGUUGGGUUAAGUCCCGCAACGAGCGCAACCCUUAUCCUUUGUUGCCAGCGGCUCGGCCGGGAACUCAAAGGAGACUGCCGGUGAUAAACCGGAGGAAGGUGGGGAUGACGUCAAGUCAUCAUGGCCCUUACGGCCAGGGCUACACACGUGCUACAAUGGCGCAUACAAAGAGAAGCGACCUCGCGAGAGCAAGCGGACCUCAUAAAGUGCGUCGUAGUCCGGAUUGGAGUCUGCAACUCGACUCCAUGAAGUCGGAAUCGCUAGUAAUCGUAGAUCAGAAUGCUACGGUGAAUACGUUCCCGGGCCUUGUACACACCGCCCGUCACACCAUGGGAGUGGGUUGCAAAAGAAGUAGGUAGCUUAACCUUCGGGAGGGCGCUUACCACUUUGUGAUUCAUGACUGGGGUGAAGUCGUAACAAGGUAGGCGUAGCGAG